rnacentral:rRNA from 1 species
UGGGGGAUAUUGCACAAUGGGCGAAAGCCUGAUGCAGCGACGCCGCGUGGGGGAUGAAGGCCUUCGGGUUGUAAACUUCUUUUGCGCUGAACAAUGCAUGCUAAUGGGUGUGUUGAGUGUAGGGGUUGAUUAGUGCCGGCUAACUACGUGCCAGCAGCCGCGGUAAUACGUAGGGCGCGAGCGUUGUGCGGAAUUAUUGGGCGUAAAGGGCUUGUAGGUGGCUGGUUGCGUCUGUCGUGAAAGCUCAUGGCUUAACUGUGGGUUUGCGGUGGGUACGGGCUGGCUUGAGUGCAGUAGGGGAGGCUGGAAUUCCUGGUGUAGCGGUGGAAUGCGCAGAUAUCAGGAGGAAUACCAGUGGCGAAGGCGGGUCUCUGGGCUGUUACUGACACUGAGGAGCGAAAGCAUGGGGAGCGAACAGG